CUGAAAAUGCUUGGUGAAUCCCUCUUGGACCAGCACUCCGCUGCGAAAUCAGAAUUGAAAAAACCAGUAAAUCAAACAAGGAACAUCUAGCAGCGGUAUUUGAGUACUGAGUUUAGGCACUAACUACCUCCUCAUAAAAGAAGUGCUCAUGACUGAAAAGGCUUGGUGAAUCCCUCUUGGACCGGCACUCCGCUGCGAAAUCAGAAUUGAAAAACCAGUAAAUCAAACAAGAAACAUCUAAGCAGCGGUAUUUGAGUACUGAGUUUAGGCACUAACUGACCUCCUCAUAAAAGAAGUGCUCAUCACAGAGUUCUAGAAUGAGGUUCUCCCAUCGCUUCCUCAUGCCAUAAAAGAAGUCACUUCGGGUUGGCCCAUUCCUUCAACCCCUUGCACGAUCCUUAUGGCAUGAAGAAGAAUUAAAUAACAAAGUAGGAUGCCCGUGUGUUGCGACGGCACACAAAAAUUUCGAUAAAAUGUUAAUGCGCAAUGAUUAAAUAAAAAUGAACAAACAUAUAUUA
rnacentral:lncRNA from 1 species